rnacentral:rRNA from 1 species
UACGUAGGGGGCAAGCGUUAUCCGGAUUUACUGGGUGUAAAGGGAGCGCAGGCGGGCUUUUAAGUCAGCGGUCAAAUGCCACGGCUCAACCGUGGCCAGCCGUUGAAACUGCAAGCCUUGAGUCUGCACAGGGCACAUGGAAUUCGUGGUGUAGCGGUGAAAUGCUUAGAUAUCACGAAGAACCCCGAUUGCGAAGGCAGCUUGCUAAACUGUAACUGACGUUCAUGCUCGAAAGUGUGGGUAUCAAACAGG